rnacentral:lncRNA from 1 species
UAAUAAAACAAGAAUAAGAUAGAAAGAUAAGCGGAAGUCUUUAAAUAAACUCAACAUAACCCCAUAAUUGGUUGUCACAUGUACAAACCUCUAAUACGGAAUCUGAAUAAAAUAUACAAGUCUCAUAGUAAAGUUCUAGAAUAGAACAGAACAGUAAAUAUAGAUAACUUGAGGGCACGUCUGGAAUGAACCGCUACCUCUCAAGUAAGUCUGGAAGCUCUAAUCUGAAGAUGAGUAAUAAGCCGGAUCUGAUAGAGCUGUCAACCUACAC